rnacentral:rRNA from 1 species
UACGUAGGGGGCAAGCGUUGUCCGGAUUUAUUGGGCGUAAAGAGCGUGUAGGCGGCCAUACAGGUCAGCUGUGAAAACUCGAGGCUCAACCUCGAGACGUCGGUUGAAACCGUUUGGCUAGAGUCCGGAAGAGGAGAGUGGAAUUCCCGGUGUAGCGGUGAAAUGCGCAGAUAUCGGGAAGAACACCAGCGGCGAAGGCGGCGAACUGGACAGCUACUGACACUCAACUACGAAAGCGUGGGGAGCAAACAGGG